CUCUGUCCCAAAAAUAAAUAAACGUUAAAAAAAAUUUUUUUUUUAAAUAAAAUAAAACUGGAGGUCCGGUCUUCUUGCAAACUGGGACGGUCAGCACCAGUCAGCGCGGGCUAUCGAUCGUGACAAGUACCACAGACUAGAGAGGCUUAAGUAAACCAGUAAACGUUAUUUCUCCGUUCUGGAGGCUGAAGGUCCACGAUCGAGGUGACGGCAGGGUUAGUUUCUCCCGGGGCCUCCCUCCUUGGCGUGGAGACGGCCGUCUUCUCCCUCUGUCCUCACGGGCCUUUCCUCUGUGCGUGACUGUGUCCUGAUCUACCCGCCCUAUGGGCUUAGCGCCCACCCUCGUGGCCUCAUUUUACCCGAAUCCCCUCUUCAAAGACCCCGUGUCCGAUUCCAGUCCCCUUCCGUGGUAUCGAGGGUUACAACUCGAACGUAUGAAUUUGGGGGGGGGGGGGACGCAAUUCUGCCCGGAACUAUUGGUUACGCUCUUCGGCAGGUUACAACGACCUGAAUCGUGCCAAGGACCACGUGAGUGCGCAAGCAGACCCGUCCCCAGUCAGGCAUCCAGAUGAGCCAGCGCUUAACGGCAGCCUCGCCGAGGCACCAGCUGAGCCACAUCCACACUCCCGAGCCGCUGAAACCUGGUGUGUCAGUUUAGGCUGCUCAUUUGGUGCUACUUUGUUACACAACAACGGCUAACGGAUACAUCGAGUCGUAUCGGCAGGCUUGUCCCACUCCACGGCUUUCCAGCACAGAACCCUCUGUUUCCAAAUUCUCUGGAUGUUCUUCUAGAAGAGCUUCAAGGACCCGUGUCACUCUCCAAGUUCCCCUUCUGCUUCACCUGGUAACUCAUUCUGCUCUAGGCGGUAUAGAGUCUCGUCUUGGCCAAAUGUUUUCACAUGCUCUGCUAGCCGAGCCCCUCGCUUGCUCGCUGAGUUUUUACCUUCCUUCCAGCCACACGAGACGGCUGUUCUCUCCUCACUGCAGCUUGAGGGUGAGGGUCAGAGAGGUGACGUAAUCAGUGCAGUAGACCCCAUCCUGCGAAUGCCUUCACGGCCCUCAUCUUGAACCCAGAGUGAAGCAGACCCACUGAAGCACAGAGACGCCUCUGAGAAAGGGAUUGCAUGGAAAACUGCGUGUUCUCAUCCCUGCUUAGAGAGGCACACUGGGCAUAUUAAAAGCACUGAUAAGUCCUGCAUUGGGCGGCGGGGGGGGGGGGGAAUGGAGAAACCACCUUGAUGUCUCUUGAGGAACGUUGUUCUGAUGCACACCCUAAUGCUACAGGGUAAGCAAAAUUAUCUCCAUUUUCCAGAUGAGGAUGUCGAGGCUUGUUCUAACGCCUUGCCCAAGGACACCCAGUCUGACCCAGCCAGCCUGGGAUUCAGACCAGGCUGGGGGACACCAAGGCCUGGAACGUCACUGACCCAUAUGACCUCUCACACCAAGCGAGGAAGUGAGUGAGGUUUUGUUGGGUCUCAAGGGGCCGGUUAAUGUCGAGAAGUCGCUAGAACGAGGGCAGGGGCCCACACGGGGGGCCUCGUUGAUGUCGUUCUGCUACAAACACGUGACAUUCCAGCACCUCCUUUCUCCUUUGAGAACCACAGGUGCAGAUACAUUUUAAUGUACCGUUUUCUUUCAAAUUAUGGCACGAGGUGAAGGAACCGGCUGUCUGGGCCCCAGGGCCUCCUGGAACAGCAUGAGCCCCGGCGUUUCUUCCCCUGAGACCUCGCUGGGGGUGGUGACACUGUUAUUGAAAAUGGCUCAGGCGCCUUGCGUCCCACGGACGCGCGGGGUGUGCGCUGUGCUGAGGACAGCCUCGAGAAUCCUGGCGGGGGCCCUGCUCAGCUCCACUCUGCCAGUGAGGAACCCGGGACAGUCACAGCUUGACCAGGCGAGAAAACCGAGGCACGGGAAGGUGCAGUGACGUGCCGGGGCCCCGCGGCCAAGCGGUGGCGGAGCCGGGACUCGAGCCCGGAGCCCUGUGCUCCCACCCCCUGCCCUCCGCGGCCUCUCCAGGCCUCGCCGAGAGCCGGGCCCUGGCAUCGGCCCCCCUCCUUCCCGCGUCAGCCCAUGGUGCCGAGGCAGCCACAGCCUCCGCGGGGCGCCGCGGGCCGCGCAGAAGAGCCACACGGCUGACCCGCAGCCCGUGUUCUAACCACCAGGCUGCCCGCCCUGCCCCUGGGGCACCUGGCGCCAGGCGGCGGACGAACGGGUCUUGCCUUCGGAGGGCCGCGUCCAGCUUGGCAGGGCAGGCCCCGACGGACCCCAGCCGCCACCCCCGGGCCCGUGGCCGCCCCUACGCCGACGUAACGUUGGCCCGAGAGGCCGGGGGCAGAAGACGGCUGGCUGCUCUCCUCGUCUGCCGCUCGCUCCGCAUUCUUGCUGAACUUUAACAAAAUAAAUAAAAAUCCCAGAGAAUGCCAGAACCAGA